GUGGUUCAAGUCCACUUAGGCCCAUUGGAUGGGGCCUUAGCUCAGCUGGGAGAGCGCCUGCUUUGCAAGCAGGAGGUCAUCGGUUCGAUCCCGAUAGGCUCCACCAUAUGAAUGAUCUUUAAGGAAAACAGGCGAUGUUUCGUGCCUGUGCCUGCGUCUUCUAGCAGAUUCGAGGAAGUGGGAUUCCUCGAUGCAAGACUGCAGAGAAGCAAAUUCAAGAAGCAGUCUCGUUCCUUGAAAACUAGAUAACCGGAAAGAAAAGCGGAGGCGCCGCGUUUGGCUCUCGAAGCCAAAUGUUCUUCACCCAGAGGGGUGUUGGCACCCCGAGGGGGAAGGUUAUUUGGCAGAAGAGAGCCAGGCGCCGACGCGAGACAGCAAGGAAGAASNGAAGAGCGCA
rnacentral:tRNA from 1 species